rnacentral:rRNA from 1 species
CCUGCCCACUGAUAAUAUUAGGAUUUAACGGCUGCGGUAUUAAUAACCGUGCAAAGGUAGCAUAAUCAUUAGUCUUUUAAUUGAAGGCUUGUAUGAAUGGUUGGACAAAAGAGGAACGGUCUGUCUUUAAUAAAAAUUGAAUUUAACUUUUAAGUGAGAAGGCUUAAAUAAUUCAGAGGGACGAUAAGACCCUAUAAAGCUUUAUAAAAAUAAGAUUUGACUAAAUUAUUAUUAAAAGUUAAAAUACUAUAUUUUAUUUGGUUGGGGCAACUAAUGUAUAAUUAUUAUUAACUGCUUAAUAUUAAAAACAAAUAUAUUUGUAUUAAAAAUUAAAUGAUCCUUUUUAAUGAUUUUAAGAUUAAGUUACUUUAGGGAUAACAGCGUUAUUUUUUUUAAGAGUUCAUAUCGAAAAAAGAGUUUACGACCUCGAUGUUGAAUUAAAAUUUCUAUAUAGUGCAGUUAUUAUAUAAGGGGGUCUGUUCGACCUUUAAAUUUUUACGUGAUCUGAGUU